GAAAUGCGAUAAGUAAUGUGAAUUGCAGAAUUCAGUGAAUCAUCGAAUCUUUGAACGCACCUUGCGCUCCUUGGUAUUCCGAGGAGCAUGCCUGUUUGAGUGUCAUUAAAUUCUCAACCUUUACCUUCUUUUUUAAAAGUGGGUAAAUGGCUUGGAUGUGGGGGUUUUGCCGGUUUCUCUUUUGAAAUCAGCUCCCCUGAAAGAUAUUAGCUGGUUGCCUUGUGUAAACCUGUCUAUUGGUGUGAUAAUUAUCUACGCCGUGGAUGGUUUGCCGUUUAUAGCACUGCUUCUAACCGUCUGUUCAUUCAGACAAUUUAUGACAAUUUGACCUCAAAUCAGGUAGGACUACCCGCUGAACUUAA
rnacentral:misc_RNA from 1 species